GACGAACGCUGGCGGCGCUCCUAACACAUGCAAGUCGAACGAGCGAGAGAGAGCUUGCCUUCUCAAGCGAGUGGCGAACGGGUGAGUAACGCGUGAGGAACCUGCCUCAAAGAGGGAGACAACAGUUGGAAACGACUGCUAAUACCGCAUAAGCCCACAGCUCGGCAUCGAGCAGAGGGAAAAGGAGUGAUCCGCUUUGAGAUGGCCUCGCGUCCGAUUAGCUGGUUGGUGAGGUAACGGCCCACCAAGGCGACGAUCGGUAGCCGGACUGAGAGGUUGAACGGCCACAUUGGGACUGAGACACGGCCCAGACUCCUACGGGAGGCAGCAGUGGGGAAUAUUGCACAAUGGGGGAAACCCUGAUGCAGCGACGCCGCGUGGAGGAAGAAGGUCUUCGGAUUGUAAACUCCUGUUGUUGAGGAAGAUAAUGACGGUACUCAACAAGGAAGUGACGGCUAACUACGUGCCAGCAGCCGCGGUAAAACGUAGGUCACAAGCGUUGUCCGGAAUUACUGGGUGUAAAGGGAGCGCAGGCGGGAAAGCAAGUUGGAAGUGAAAUCCAUGGGCUCAACCCAUGAACUGCUUUCAAAACUGUUUUUCUUGAGUAGUGCAGAGGUAGGCGGAAUUCCCGGUGUAGCGGUGGAAUGCGUAGAUAUCGGGAGGAACACCAGUGGCGAAAGCGGCCUACUGGGCACCAACUGACGCUGAGGCUCGAAAGUGUGGGUAGCANACAGG
rnacentral:rRNA from 1 species